rnacentral:rRNA from 1 species
ACAUGCCUACAACAUAGCAUUAAUGCACCAGAUCCCAUUAGAAAUCUACAGUUAAGCACACUUGAGCUAGAGUAGUACUGGUAUGGACGAAUGCCCAGGAAGUCCUGGUGUUUUACAUGCC